AGUGAACGCUGGCGGUAGGCCUAACACAUGCAAGUCGAACGGCAGCACCGUAAGGGCUUGCUCUUACGGGUGGCGAGUGGCGGACGGGUGCGGAAUACAUCGGAAUCUACUUUUUCGUGGGGGAUAACGUAGGGAAACUUACGCUAAUACCGCAUACGGCCUACGGGUGAAAGCAGGGGAUCUUCGGACCUUGCGCGAUUGAAUGAGCCGAUGUCGGAUUAGCUAGUUGGUGGGGUAAAGGCCCACCAAGGCGACGAUCCGUAGCUGGUCUGAGAGGAUGAUCAGCCACACUGGAACUGAGACACGGUCCAGACUCCUACGGGAGGCAGCAGUGGGGAAUAUUGGACAAUGGGCGCAAGCCUGAUCCAGCCAUACCGCGUGGGUGAAGAAGGCCUUCGGGUUGUAAAGCCCUUUUGUUGGGAAAGAAGAGCAGCAGGUUAAUACCGCGCUGUUCUGACGGUACCCAAAGAAUAAGCACCGGCUAACUUCGUG
rnacentral:rRNA from 1 species